GGAAAAAUGGGUACUGGUGGUCGCUACACAGCAAGUAUGUUGCCUUUACCCAAGUUGAUACUUCAAAGAUCCUUCCAUUUAGAAUCAUGCAUCAAGGUAAAAGCUCAGUUGGUUCGGAUGCACAAGAAGACCAUGCUUAUUCAUUUGCAGGAACUUCCAAUGCCGUUGUUCGUCUCGGUGUUGUCUCUGUUGCUGGAGGCCCAAUUACUUGGAU
rnacentral:misc_RNA from 1 species